GGCAGUUGAAUAAAGAGGAUAUUUUUCAAAUAAUUUCUUUGGAAAAAAAAUGCAGAAUUUGAGCUUUAUCUUAUAUGUGACUCAAGAAUGUAGGUCUUUUACUUCUUAUUCAAGAUGAAAUCCUGUUACAUGGCUGCCUUUUGAAGGAUUUAAUUGCUCCAAGGAUUCACGCUUACACAGUAUUCUUCACCUCUUAGAAAUCACCAGGAUGGAAGCCUACCAAGAGCUUUCCUGAAAAUACCGAGGAAGAUGUCAUUAGCAGGUGAUGCUGCCCAGCUGUCUCAUGAGAAUACAUGGUCCAGUCACUGGAAUUCAGUCCAUCUGUAGCUCAGCAAAGGGCUCACCAUUCCAGACCACAUUCAUUUUGCCUAAAUCUGGCCAAAGAAGGACUGUGCAUGAUUAGUAUAUACAAUAGAAGAAAAAUGGAGAACCAGGGGUGAAAUCAUAGGUUGACUGAUGUCAUGAAAAUAAUGUCCAUAGAGGAGGACUUCAUGCCAAAACCCAGGAGCAGACAGAUUUCUGAGAAAGAUCUUGAUCAUCAAUAACUCCUGCUAAUUCAGUGGAAAUCAUAGCAUUUGGUCCUGGGCCAAGCUCUCCUCCACCCAAUACCAGCACUGCUCAAUGUUGCGGUUUUUGUUAACCCACUUCUUCCAUUCUCCUCUCAGCUUUACAA